rnacentral:lncRNA from 1 species
GGUGGCCCUGCUUCAGGUGGCAGACGGGGCAGCUCUGCUUCCUACUUCCAGUCUGUGAGUCAACUGGAGCAUCUCUGGAUACGUGUCUCUCAUCUUCUUUGGGCCAGAGGACUCAUCAGGAAUGUUCUUCCUAUGGCUGUUCUUCCUGUGGCUGUGACAGAGGCAAAGAUAGCAGCCCAACCAUGCAAGCACUUUCAAGCCUUUGCUUGCAUCUCAUCUGCUAACAUCCCCUCAACCAAAGCAUGUCAAAGGAUAGGAAAGUAUACCCGACUCCUACUGGGUGGAAGUUAUAUAGCAACAGCCUCCAGAGACUGAUACAACCAGACAGGCUCUUGACAUGGCUUCUGAUUUCUCUGCUCUUGGCUGUGUCUACACGAAAGGCAUCACCAACGGCCCACAGACUCAGCCUCUCAGACAUGCAAGAAAAUUUGUCAAGCAGGAGUGUGAAAAUUGAAAUUGUCAAGACUGCAACAAAAAGCAAGCACAUUUGACCAUUUUGAGGAAGCAUCAAGGUUGAGCUUCGCAGCUGCUGUCCUGGAUAAAAGAAAACACAAGCCCCUGGCUAGAAAAAAAAAAAAAAGGAACCUAAUUAUGUCAUGAUGAGCUGGGAGAAAAUGGCAAAUAAAAAUUGCAAUGCAAAGCA